rnacentral:rRNA from 1 species
AUUGAACGCUGGCGGCAUGCUUUACACAUGCAAGUCGAACGGCAGCGCGGGCUUCGGCCUGGCGGCGAGUGGCGAAUGGGUGAGUAAUGCAUCGGAACGUGCCCAGUAGUGGGGGAUAGCCCGGCGAAAGCCGGAUUAAUACCGCAUACGACCUGAGGGUGAAAGCGGGGGACCGAAAGGCCUCGCGCUAUUGGAGCGGCCGAUGUCGGAUUAGCUAGUUGGUGGGGUAAAGGCUUACCAAGGCGACGAUCCGUAGCUGGUCUGAGAGGACGACCAGCCACACUGGGACUGAGACACGGCCCAGACUCCUACGGGAGGCAGCAGUGGGGAAUGUUGGACAAUGGGGGCAACCCUGAUCCAGCCAUGCCGCGUGCGGGAAGAAGGCCUUCGGGUUGUAAACCGCUUUUGUUCGGGAAGAAAUCCUCUGGGCUAAUACCCCGGGGGGAUGACGGUACCGGAAGAAUAAGCACCGGCUAACUACGUG